rnacentral:rRNA from 1 species
CGGACGGGUGAGUAAUGUCUGGGAAACUGCCUGAUGGAGGGGGAUAACUACUGGAAACGGUAGCUAAUACCGCAUAACGUCGCAAGACCAAAGAGGGGGACCUUGGGCCUCUUGCCAUCGGAUGUGCCCAGAUGGGAUUAGCUGUGGUGGGGUAAGGGCUCACCAGGCGACGAUCCCUAGCUGGUCUGAGAGGAUGACCAGCCACACUGGAACUGAGACACGGUCCAG